UUAACAAUCAGCGCAUUGCGCGAAAUGACCUGUUGAUCUUCGUCACUGUCGGAUUUGUUCUCCGUUACAGUCGAUGGUUUUAUUCCAGAUUGUGCAUGAGCGCACAGAUAUGCCCCCCGGCCCAUCAGCCCCUCCUGCUAGCUCUCAACUUGUCCUCCCAAGUACCACCAGCCUUCCAGCUACUGUUUCUCCUGCUGCAAGUGCUGGCCUCUCCACUCCAUCCUUCCCCUCCCCAACACCCUCAUGAUCACUGUCCUUGCUCCUGCCGCCACAGCUACAUCUGGAUCACAGGCCACCACCCCAGCAGCACCCGGGCAACAACAGCCUGUGGAUGAGUGAUGUGGAUGGACCGCAUGGACCGCCUGGCAGAGUACUUGCUUGGGACUGACACUGGCCAAACACUCAAUAAUCUGCAGGCCAGUAUUAUUAUGCCCAUAGACCGUACAAUCGGACAACUGACAAAAGUAAAUGGAGUCAAUGUCACCACCCCCGAAAUCAAGAAAAUGGCCAAAGUCAAUAUUAUGGACAUACAGUAUAUACUGUCCUUUAAAUGCCCAUCUGCCACUUGACCAGUGGUUCGAGGAGAUGCAGAGGAAGAGGGAAGAAAAUAUAUUGAUGUCAUUCUUUGACAUGAGUAUAAAUGGUGUAAAUAGUUUUAAAAGAAGUGUUUGUUAUAUAUGUUUGUUAUAUUUUAUCCUUGUUGUAAUAGUUUGUUGCUUUAAUUUUUGUAAGUGUUUCAUUUAUCAGUAUAGACAGUAUGUUUUAUCUUGUUAAGUUUGUUGAGUUUAGUUUUUUCAUGUGUUUUGUACAGGAGCAUUUCUUUCAUUCUUUGUAUUUCAUUUAUUUACUACCUCCACCAAGGAUUGAUUUUGUUUGGUUAGUUUAUACAGUGUCUGUCUGUAUAAGUGUGAGACAUAAUUAAGGAUAACAGUAGACUUUGUAAUAAAUUUGCGCUAUAUUUCUACGUCAGUAUUUUAACAAUUUUCUACCAAAAUAUCAGUUAAAAAUGUAGUGAAGCUAAUUUUAGCUUUUUAC